GACGAACGCUGGCGGCGUGCUUAAUACAUGCAAGUCGAACGGAAAGGCCCUGCUUUUGUGGGGUGCUCGGGUGGCGAACGGGUGAGUAACACGUGAGUAACCUGCCCUUGACUUUGGGAUAACUUCAGGAAACUGGGGCUAAUACCGGAUAGGAGCUCCUGCUGCAUGGUGGGGGUUGGAAAGUUUCGGCGGUUGGGGAUGGACUCGCGGCUUAUCAGCUUGUUGGUGGGGUAGUGGCUUACCAAGGCUUUGACGGGUAGCCGGCCUGAGAGGGUGACCGGCCACAUUGGGACUGAGAUACGGCCCAGACUCCUACGGGAGGCAGCAGUGGGGAAUAUUGCACAAUGGGCGGAAGCCUGAUGCAGCAACGCCGCGUGCGGGAUGACGGCCUUCGGGUUGUAAACCGCUUUCGCCUGUGGCGAAGCGUGAGUGACGGUAAUGGGUAAAGAAGCACCGGCUAACUACGUG
rnacentral:rRNA from 1 species